GAUGAACGCUGGCGGCAUGCCUAACACAUGCAAGUCGAACGAAGCCUUCGGGCUUAGUGGCGCACGGGUGCGUAACGCGUGGGAAUCUGCCCUUUGGUUCGGAAUAACAGUUGGAAACGACUGCUAAUACCGGAUGAUGACGAAAGUCCAAAGAUUUAUCGCCAGAGGAUGAGCCCGCGUAGGAUUAGCUAGUUGGUGUGGUAAAGGCGCACCAAGGCGACGAUCCUUAGCUGGUCUGAGAGGAUGAUCAGCCACACUGGGACUGAGACACGGCCCAGACUCCUACGGGAGGCAGCAGUGGGGAAUAUUGGACAAUGGGCGAAAGCCUGAUCCAGCAAUGCCGCGUGAGUGAUGAAGGCCCUAGGGUUGUAAAGCUCUUUUACCCGGGAUGAUAAUGACAGUACCGGGAGAAUAAGCCCCGGCUAACUCCGUGCAGCCGCCGCCGUAA
rnacentral:rRNA from 1 species